GGCCCCGACUGUGGAACUUCUAUCUUGGGUUCAGAAAAGCGCUAUUACAGUGUCUCCCAACUCUCACCUGCUGUUGUCUCCCAGUUUAGCUGUAGUUGGCAUGACUUGCCAUCUCCAGUUGGGGGAUAAGAACCAGCACUCCCGCACAACACGUACACUGACGAGCAAAUUCCUAACACAAACUAUAACGUGACAAAGACCUCCAGGAAUACAGUGUUUCAGUGAUGGAGCUGCGGGGUUUUGGGGACCCUACUUAAGUUUCGGCACACCACCCGCCAAGAUAAUCCAGUGGUCGCAAGAGACUUGGAAGUUGUUCAGCAAGUGGUACAAGAGCGAUCAGCCGAUGGGUGUCUCGCUUGUGUACGGGGAAAGCAUCUGCCGCGACCCUCUACCGCUGGAACCCUGGCGACACCUUCCCUUAGCCUACCGUCAGCUGAAUUACCAUGAGUAUACCAAACAUGGCCCAGAGUACCGGUAAGUAGCCUACCAGUGUACUGCGCAC
rnacentral:misc_RNA from 1 species